UUUGAUUCAAAUGUAUAUUUUGUUGUUGGUAGUCUUAAUCAUUUUGAUAAACGAAGUCUACUAUUAGACUUCUUUCUCUCUUUAGUAGACUUCGUCAGAGAGAAAACGGUAAUUAGGACAUCCGUUUUUUGUUUAAUCAUACAGGAUUAAAUGGUCUUUUCACUACCCCUGCAGGUUAUAUCUGCCAAAUGUUUUUUCAGGGAUCUACUUUUGUAUUCAAAAUCAAGUUUUGGGUUAUUUUUAGCAAAAACUCCAAUAUAUUUAUAUAGCUAUAUAUACACCUCUCAGAUACUAGGUUUUAUUGUAUUUAACUUUAGGUCUUUAAUAUACGUCUUGCUCUUCUUAAUACAUUGUUAAUCGUUGUAUCACUGUUUUAGGAUAUGUCGAUUGAAUUAGUGCUCUCUUUCUGUUCUUUUUCGUAGUUUUCAAUUACACUUGGGUAUAUGUCUGAUUUUGGUUCAUGUGUGCUUUUAAAUUAUGAGUGAAGGAAUGGUUAUUCUUCUUUCUUUUUUUUCUGCUCUUGAAGCAACCUUCGUCUCCACAUAAUGAUUUUUUUUGUUUGGCUCUUGAAGCAACCUUCCUCUCUUAUCUAACGAGGUUUAUCUCAACUUUUUGUGUUUUGCGGAUUAAGCUAUGAGUUUCUCUAGGUAGUUGCUGUUGUUUUUUUUUUCUUUAUGGUUCGCUGCUAAUAUAUUGAGUAGUUAAUUAGCAGUUUUUCACCUUUUGUUCGUUGUUUAUUGUAGUUUUUAUGUUCAUUUAGUGAUUGAUGGGAGGUUUGUUCAUGGUUAUGCUCUUCUAGGUUGCUUUCUCUGUUUGGAAUAUGCGUCUGGUUUGUCAAAAACUAAUUAAUCACUCCGAUGAUAAAUGAAUCUACACAUAAUUGUUUCGUUGAGUAUCAUACGAAGUGUUCACUCUAGCUACCAAUGCUAAAUGCUCACAAGAAUGUGAAAAAGAUAGUAAUAUGACACAAGACAAAUGUAAAUAACGCUAAUUAAUCAAACAAAUAAAAUAAACUUAAACAUCUUAACAUCAUGAUCAAAUCUAAAACAUCCUUACUUCUGAUAUGAUCGUGACCAGCUCAGAGGAGGAGGAACCAGAGGUAGCUGGCAGGAUCACUCGUUCCAGAGCUAGAGAGAUGGCUAAGGAGGCUCACGCACUCAUUGCCACAGAGGACAGCGAUCACCAGGAGGCUGGAGCUCACAUCUUCAACAUCUCUAUCUUGAAGAAUGAAGAACCCAGUAACAAUGACUAGGUAACUUAGGUGAUGAUUCUGUACUCUUUUCCUUGGUGAGGAUUUUGGAAGGCAAGGAGGUUCUUCUCCAAGGUUUUUAACGAGGCAGAAAUCAUUGCUACGUCGAGUUACUUAGAAGUUGUUACUAAUGGGUAAUAAUGUGCAAAGUCACAAUGACUUGUGCACUUAGUAUCUUGGCGCACCACUUAGGAAUUUAGGGACGCCUCGCUGUUUUAUUUUUUUAAAUCAAACUUCUUGUUGUUUUUAUUUCAGACUUCAUGUAGUUUGUUUCUUAGGGCUGCGAUUUCUCUCUAAGUCUAUUUAAGAGAGAAAAUCGCCUAUGUCAUAUUCAGUGAAGAAUUUUGAUCAAACUUUUAACGUGUUCUUCUCUCUUUUUGAUUUCUG
rnacentral:lncRNA from 1 species